GCAAGUCGAGCGGACAGAUGGGAGCUUGCUCCCUGAUGUUAGCGGCGGACGGGUGAGUAACACGUGGGUAACCUGCCUGUAAGACUGGGAUAACUCCGGGAAACCGGGGCUAAUACCGGAUGGUUGUUUGAACCGCAUGGUUCAGACAUAAAAGGUGGCUUCGGCUACCACUUACAGAUGGACCCGCGGCGCAUUAGCUAGUUGGUGAGGUAACGGCUCACCAAGGCGACGAUGCGUAGCCGACCUGAGAGGGUGAUCGGCCACACUGGGACUGAGACACGGCCCAGACUCCUACGGGAGGCAGCAGUAGGGAAUCUUCCGCAAUGGACGAAAGUCUGACGGAGCAACGCCGCGUGAGUGAUGAAGGUUUUCGGAUCGUAAAGCUCUGUUGUUAGGGAAGAACAAGUGCCGUUCAAAUAGGGCGGCACCUUGACGGUACCUAACCAGAAAGCCACGGCUAACUACGUGCCAGCAGCCGCGGUAAUACGUAGGUGGCAAGCGUUGUCCGGAAUUAUUGGGCGUAAAGGGCUCGCAGGCGGUUUCUUAAGUCUGAUGUGAAAGCCCCCGGCUCAACCGGGGAGGGUCAUUGGAAACUGGGGAACUUGAGUGCAGAAGAGGAGAGUGGAAUUCCACGUGUAGCGGUGAAAUGCGUAGAGAUGUGGAGGAACACCAGUGGCGAAGGCGACUCUCUGGUCUGUAACUGACGCUGAGGAGCGAAAGCGUGGGGAGCGAACAGGAUUA
rnacentral:rRNA from 1 species